rnacentral:rRNA from 1 species
UACGAAGGGUGCAAGCGUUACUCGGAAUUACUGGGCGUAAAGCGUGCGUAGGCGGUUUGUUAAGUCCGUUGUGAAAGCCCUGGGCUCAACCUGGGAAUUGCAGUGGAUACUGGCGAGCUAGAGUGCGGUAGAGGAUGGUGGAAUUCCCGGUGUAGCGGUGAAAUGCGUAGAGAUCGGGAGGAACACCCGUGGCGAAGGCGGCCAUCUGGACCAGCACUGACGCUGAUGCACGAAAGCUAGGGGAGCAAACAGG